AUUGAACGCUGGCGGCAUGCUUUACACAUGCAAGUCGAACGGUAACAGGGAGCUUGCUCCGCUGACGAGUGGCGAACGGGUGAGUAAUGCGUCGGAACGUGCCGAGUAGUGGGGGAUAACGCAGCGAAAGUUGUGCUAAUACCGCAUACGUACUGAGGUAGAAAGUGGGGGACCUUCGGGCCUCACGCUAUUCGAGCGGCCGACGUCUGAUUAGCUAGUAGGUGAGGUAAAGGCUCACCUAGGCGACGAUCAGUAGCGGGUCUGAGAGGAUGAUCCGCCACACUGGGACUGAGACACGGCCCAGACUCCUACGGGAGGCAGCAGUGGGGAAUUUUGGACAAUGGGCGAAAUCCUGAUCCAGCCAUGCCGCGUGUCUGAAGAAGGCCUUCGGGUUGUAAAGGACUUUUGUCGGGACGAAAAAAGAUCAUUCUUGAUCACUUGACGGUACCAGAUGAAUAAGCACCGGCUAACUCCGUGCCAGCCGCCGCCGUAACAC
rnacentral:rRNA from 1 species